UACGUAGGGGGCUAGCGUUGUCCGGAAUUAUUGGGCGUAAAGAGCGUGUAGGCGGCCCGACAAGUCCGCUGUGAAAGCCCAGGGCUCAACCCUGGGAUGCCGGUGGAAACUGUCGGGCUAGAGUCCGGAAGAGGCGAGUGGAAUUCCUGGUGUAGCGGUGAAAUGCGCAGAUAUCAGGAGGAACACCCGUGGCGAAAGCGGCUCUCUGGGACGGUACUGACGCUGAGGCGCGAAAGCGUGGGGAGCAAACAGG
rnacentral:rRNA from 1 species